rnacentral:rRNA from 1 species
AUGAUUAUAUUAAUGCUAAAUUUAUGAAAAAGGAUUUAAAAGUAAUUUUAUUUGUUAAAAGAAAUAUAAUGAAUAAAGUUUCUAAAAUAUGUACACAUUGCCCGUCACUCUUAAAUUUUAAAAUAAGAUAAGUCGUAACAUAGUAAGUGUACCGGAAGGUGUACUUHGGGAAUAAGUAAUUUAAAUUUAAAGUUUAUUAUUUACACUAAUAGGAUAUCUAAAAGAUCUUAUUUAUUAAGACAAAGUUUAUNUGGGUAAUAAUUNUUAUUUUGUUUUGAUUGUAAGGGGGGAACAAUUAUAUCAAAUAAAAGAUUUAUUAAUCAUACCUUUUGUAUCAGGGUCAAUUUAAUUAUWUUAGAAAUUAAAUUUUUUUCGAAAAAAAAAGAUUUAAAUAUAAAAUAUUNUUUAUGUGGAAAAAAUAAUGGUUUAUUUGUAUUUAGAACUGAAAUAGUUAUCAAUUUUUUAUAUCUAGUUAUUUUAUCAUUUAAUUUAAUUAAUUUAACUUUUUGAAAAAUUAAAAUUUAAAAACUUAUUUGGGGAUAAGCUUAAAUUUAUAAAAUAUAGAAAAGUUAAAAAAAAUGAUAAUUAAAAUUAAAAAUAUUUAUAUGUAUUUGUUAAAAUAAAUCAUUUUUAUAUUUAAGAAUAUUUAUAUUACUUUUAUGGGGGUAAAAGUAAUAUAAUAAAAUAUUGCUAUUAUAAUAAAAAUGAUUGAAUUAGUAGAAUAAUAAAAUUAGUAUUUAAGAAUUUGGCAAAUUAAGAAUUUCGUUUGUUUAUCAAAAACAUUUUUAUAAGUUAUAUUUUUAUAAUAGUACCUGCUCAAU